AUUGAACGCUGGCGGCAUGCCUUACACAUGCAAGUCGAACGGUAACGCGGGGCAACCUGGCGACGAGUGGCGAACGGGUGAGUAAUGUAUCGGAACGUGCCCAGUUGUGGUGGAUAACUGCUCGAAAGAGCAGCUAAUACCGCAUACGACCUGAGGGUUAAAGCGGGGGAUCGCAAGACCUCGCGCAAUCGGAGCGGCCGAUAUCAGAUUAGGUAGUUGGUGGGGCAAAGGCCUACCAAGCCUACGAUCUGUAGCUGGUCUGAGAGGACGACCAGCCACACUGGGACUGAGACACGGCCCAGACUCCUACGGGAGGCAGCAGUGGGGAAUUUUGGACAAUGGGGGAAGCCCUGAUCCAGCCAUGCCGCGUGCGGGAAGAAGGCCUUCGGGUUGUAAACCGCUUUUGUCAGGGAAGAAAUCCUUUGAACUAAUACUUCGGAGGGAUGACGGUACCUGAAGAAUAAGCACCGGCUAACUACGUGCCAGCAGCCGCCGUAA
rnacentral:rRNA from 1 species